rfam:Triticum urartu cultivar G1812 contig72782, whole genome shotgun sequence.
UACAUACUCCCUCCGUUCCAAUUACUUGUCGCGGGUAUGGAUGUAUCUAGAUGUAUUUUAGUUCUAGAUACAUUCAUUUUUAUGACGAGUAAUUUAGAACGGAGGGAGUAGAUG